rfam:Trichuris muris Edinburgh genomic scaffold, scaffold88
GCAGCGGUGGCCGAGUGGUUAAGGCGAUUGACUAGAAAUCAAUUGGGCUCUGCCCGCACAGGUUCGAAUCCUGUCCGCUGCG